rnacentral:rRNA from 1 species
AAAAUUUUAAUGGUCGAACAGACCAACCCUUAAAGACGGUUGCAUCUUUGGGAUAUUUUGGUCCAACAUCGAGGUCACAAGCCUUUUUUUCGAUAAGAGCUCUCAAAAAAGAUUAUGCUGUUAUCCCUACGGUAACUAAUUUCUUCAAUCAAAAUUUUUGGAUCAAAAUAUGUGUAUUUUUUUACAAAAAGAAGCUUUAUUUGUUCCUAGGUCGCCCCAACCAAAAUUUUUAAAAGUUGUAGUUAUAUAAAUACACUUAAUAUCUUUUAACUGUUUUAAAGCUCGAUAGGGUCUUCUUGUCUUUUAAUUAAAUUCAGGCUUCUUCAGCUGAAAAUUAAAUUUUAUAAAAUUAUAUAGAGACAGAAUUGCUCUUGUCAAACCAUUCAUACCAGCCCCCAAUUAUAGGGCAAAUGAUUAUGCUACCUUUGCACGGUCAGAGUACCGCGGCCGUUAAAAUAUUUCACUGGGCAGGUCCGACUCUUUAUUAUAUUUAAUCAAAGAGCC